AUGUGGAAGAAAGAAGUCAAGCUGCUUACAAUCCACAACCAAAAGAGAAAAGCCACUCAAGGGCAGAGGGAUCUUGCUCGUCAACGUCCGUUGCCGAUCCGGUCAUCAACAUCUGCUUUCUUUUCUUCAGGACAAGAAUGGUUAUAUCCUGGCAGUGAGCUUCUCGUACCUGUCGUCCAAUCCAUUAGGGUCCAGCCAUUACAAAGAGAGCCUUGGGGCAUCUGCUUAAACCCUAGGCUUGGAGCCUUACAACUUUCUCAGCUCAAGUUAUUUUUACCUUAG